ACUGAACGCUGGCGGAAUGCUUUACACAUGCAAGUCGAGCGGCAGCGCGGGGUGACCUGGCGGCGAGCGGCGAACGGGUGAGUAAUACAUCGGAACGUACCCAGUUGUGGGGGAUAGCCCGGCGAAAGCCGGAUUAAUACCGCAUACGACCUGAGGGUGAAAGGGGGGGAUCGCAAGACCUCUCGCAGUUGGAGCGGCCGAUGGCGGAUUAGCUAGUUGGUGAGGUAAAGGCUCACCAAGGCGACGAUCCGUAGCGGGUCUGAGAGGACGACCCGCCACACUGGAACUGAGACACGGUCCAGACUCCUACGGGAGGCAGCAGUGGGGAAUUUUGGACAAUGGGGGCAACCCUGAUCCAGCCAUUCCGCGUGAGUGAAGAAGGCCUUCGGGUUGUAAAGCUCUUUCGGCAGGAACGAAACGGUCUUUUCUAAUACAAGAGGCUAAUGACGGUACCUGAAGAAGAAGCACCGGCUAACUACGUGCCAGCAGCCGCGGUAACAC
rnacentral:rRNA from 1 species